UACGGGGGGGGCAAGCGUUGUUCGGAAUUACUGGGCGUAAAGGGCUCGUAGGCGGCCAACUAAGUCAGACGUGAAAUCCCUCGGCUUAACCGGGGAACUGCGUCUGAUACUGGAUGGCUUGAGUUUGGGAGAGGGAUGCGGAAUUCCAGGUGUAGCGGUGAAAUGCGUAGAUAUGUGGAGGAACACCGAUGGCGAAGGCAGCCCCCUGGGCUAACACUGACGCUCAUGCACGAAAGCGUGGGGAGCAAACAGG
rnacentral:rRNA from 1 species